rnacentral:rRNA from 1 species
ACCCUUUAAUGGCUGGUGUUCUAACGUAGACCCGUAAUCCGGGUUGCGGACAGUGUCUGGUGGGUAGUUUGACUGGGGCGGUCUCCUCCCAAAGAGUAACGGAGGAGCACGAAGGUUAGCUAAUCCUGGUCGGACAUCAGGAGGUUAGUGCAAUGGCAUAAGCUAGCUUGACUGCGAGAGUGACGGCUCGAGCAGGUGCGAAAGCAGGUCAUAGUGAUCCGGUGGUUCUGAAUGGAAGGGCCAUCGCUCAACGGAUAAAAGGUACUCCGGGGAUAACAGGCUGAUACCGCCCAAGAGUUCAUAUCGACGGCGGUGUUUGGCACCUCGAUGUCGGCUCAUCACAUCCUGGGGCUGAAGUAGGUCCCAAGGGUAUGGCUGUUCGCCAUUUAAAGUGGUACGCGAGCUGGGUUUAGAACGUCGUGAGACAGUUCGGUCCCUAUCUGCCGUGGGCGCUGGAGAAUUGAGGGGGGCUGCUCCUAGUACGAGAGGACCGGAGUGGACGCAUCACUGGUGUUCGGGUUGUCAUGCCAAUGGCACUGCCCGGUAGCUAAAUGCGGAAAAGAUAAGUGCUGAAAGCAUCUAAGCACGAAACUUGCCCCGAGAUGAGUUCUCCCUGAGACUUUAAGUCUCCUGAAGGAACGUUGAAGACGACGACGUUGAUAGGUCGGGUGUGUAAGCGCAGCGAUGCGUUGAGCUAACCGAUACUAAUGAACCGUGAGG